CAGCCGCCGCGGGAAUACGAAGGGUGCAAGCGUUAAUCGGAAUUACUGGGCGUAAAGCGUGCGUAGGCGGUGAGUUAAGUUUGCUGUGAAAUCCCCGGGCUCAACCUGGGAAUGGCAGUGGAUACUGGCUCGCUAGAGUGUGUCAGAGGAUGGUGGAAUUCCCGGUGUAGCGGUGAAAUGCGUAGAGAUCGGGAGGAACAUCAGUGGCGAAGGCGGCCAUCUGGGACAACACUGACGCUGAGGCACGAAAGCGUGGGGAGCAAACAGGAUUAGAUACCCGCGUAGUCCCUGUCUCUUAUAC
rnacentral:rRNA from 1 species